GCCACCCUAGCUCAGUUGGUAGAGCGACGCAUUCGUAAUGCGUAGGUCGAGAGUUCGAGUCUCUUGGGUGGCUCCA
rnacentral:tRNA from 1 species